UACGGAGGAUGCGAGCGUUAUCCGGAUUUAUUGGGUUUAAAGGGUGCGUAGGCGGGUUAUCAAGUCAGCGGUAAAAUCGUGGAGCUCAACUCCAUCCAGCCGUUGAAACUGAUGAUCUUGAGUGGGCGAGAAGUAUGCGGAAUGCGUGGUGUAGCGGUGAAAUGCAUAGAUAUCACGCAGAACUCCGAUUGCGAAGGCAGCAUACCGGCGCCCCGACUGACGCUGAAGCACGAAAGCGUGGGUAUCGAACAGG
rnacentral:rRNA from 1 species